UACGGGGGGGGCAAGCGUUGUUCGGAAUUACUGGGCGUAAAGGGCUCGUAGGCGGCCAACUAAGUCAGACGUGAAAUCCCUCGGCUUAACCGGGGAACUGCAUCUGAUACUGGAUGGCUUGAGAUUGGGAGAGGGAUGCGGAAUUCCAGGUGUAGCGGUGAAAUGCGUAGAUAUCUGGAGGAACACCGGUGGCGAAGGCGGCAUCCUGGACAAACACUGACGCUGAGGAGCGAAAGCCAGGGGAGCAAACAGG
rnacentral:rRNA from 1 species